GACGAACGCUGGCGGCGUGCCUAAUACAUGCAAGUAGGACGCAGUUGCGAACGGUUGAGUAACGCGUGGGUGACUACCUAUUAGAGGGGGAUAACUAUUGGUAACGAUAGCUAAUACCGCAUACUAGUAGAUGGACCUGCGUUGUAUUAGCUAGUAGGGCGGGUAAUGGCCUAACAAGGCAACGAUACAUCACCGACCCGGGAGGGUGAUUCGCCAAACUGGGAAUGAGGAACGGGCCAGACUCCCUCGGGAGGCAGGAGUAGGGAAACGUCGGCAAUGGGGGGAACCCUGACCGAGCAACGCCGCGUGAGUGAAGAAGGUUUUCGGAUCGGAAAGCUCUGUUGUUAAGGAAGCGGUACUUAACCAGAAAGGGACGGCUAACUACGUGCCAGCAGCCGCGGUAAUAC
rnacentral:rRNA from 1 species